UCUACUGGUUUCAGAUGUUGUGAGGUUGGGUUCAGGUCCCUCGCUUGGGAUUUAAAUACUGACCAUAAUAUCAUUUUUCCUCCCUCUCUCUCCUUUCCUUUCUCUCUGACUUCCUUUUUUGCUUACAGAGUGUCAUGCAGUGGGAGAUCUCUUGCUUUGUUUUCCUGUCGAAGUUUGCAUGGUACUGCACAGUUGAUAAACCUCUUGUGAGGGAGGGAGAGCUGGAAGCCAUCUUCCAACCACGGAAGUCUUUGGAUCCUUGCACCUCCAACGCUGCAUUCAAACAGGAUGGGAUCUGCUGGAGCGAAGAAGAGAAAGAAUUUCGGUUGCCACAAUUGAUUGAUUGAUUGAUUGAUUGAUUGUGUGUGUGUGUGUGUGUGUGUGUGUGUGUGUGUGUGUGUGUACACUUGACUGUACAGCCUUGGAGGAACUAGCCAGAAGUCUAAAUCAUCAAAUCCAAUACCUUGGACAUCGUGGCAGGGUGUCCUUUCUCAAGGUCCAUGCCUGAAGCAUGGAUCAGGGUGUCUCUCAGAGGACCAAAGGGCAGAGACAGGCCCAGGGCAUGGGCCAAUGAGAAGGAAGCUACUCCCAGGGCAGCACACCUCCUUCCAGCAGAUCUUACCUGCUAUUAAUAAAACUAUGUUUUCUCAUCCA